UACGGAGGGAGCUAGCGUUGUUCGGAAUUACUGGGCGUAAAGCGCGCGUAGGCGGCUUUGUAAGUUAGAGGUGAAAGCCCGGGGCUCAACCCCGGAAUUGCCUUUAAGACUGCAUCGCUUGAAUCCGGGAGAGGUGAGUGGAAUUCCGAGUGUAGAGGUGAAAUUCGUAGAUAUUCGGAAGAACACCAGUGGCGAAGGCGACACACUGGCUCACUACUGACGCUGAGGCGCGAAAGCGUGGGGAGCAAACAGG
rnacentral:rRNA from 1 species